CGGGGCGUAGCGCAGCCUGGCAGCGCACCGCGUUUGGGACGCGGGGGUCGGAGGUUCAAAUCCUCUCGCCCCGA
rnacentral:tRNA from 1 species